rnacentral:rRNA from 1 species
UACGUAGGGGGCUAGCGUUGUCCGGAAUCAUUGGGCGUAAAGAGCGUGUAGGCGGUCCGGUAAGUCCGCUGUGAAAGUCGGGGGCUCAACCCUGGAAAGCCGGUGGAUACUGCCGGGCUAGAGUCCGGAAGAGGCGAGUGGAAUUCCUGGUGUAGCGGUGGAAUGCGCAGAUAUCAGGAGGAACACCAAUAGCGAAGGCAGCUCGCUGGGACGGUACUGACGCUGAGGUGCGAAAGCGUGGGGAGCAAACAGG